GUCCCAGCAGUAAACGGUGCAUGUUUGGUGUGGGGGAGUUCGACCUUCCCUGUGCCGGAGUUAACACGUUAAACAUGCCGCCUGGGAAGUACGGUCGCAAGACUAAAAACUCAAAGAAAUUGACGGGGACCCGCACAAGCGGUGGAGUAUGUGGCUUAAUUCGAUGCAACGCGAAGAACCUUACCUGGGCUUGACAUGCACUGUGUCUUUGGUGAAAGCCAAAUAGCGUAGUAAUACGUGCUUUGCACAGGUGCUGCAUGGCUGUCGU
rnacentral:rRNA from 1 species